rnacentral:rRNA from 1 species
CCUACGGGUGGCAGCAGUGGGGAAUAUUGCACAAUGGGGGAAACCCUGAUGCAGCGACGCCGCGUGAGUGAAGAAGUCUUUCGGUAUGUAAAGCUCUAUCAGCAGGGGAGAUAAUGACGGUACCUGAGGACGCAGCCCCGGCUAACGACGUGCCAGCCGCCGCGGUACUACGAAGGGGGCAAGCGUUAUCCGGAUUUACUGGGUGUUAAGGGAGCGUAGGCGGCAUGGCAAGUCUGAAGUGGAAGACCGGGGCUCAACCGCGGGACUGCUUUGGAAACUGUUGAGCUGGAGUGCAGGAGAGGGAAGUGGAAUUCCUAGGGUAGCGGUGAAAUGCGUAGAUAUUAGGAGGAACACCAGUGGCGAAGGCGGCUUACUGGACUGUAACUGACGUUGCUGCUCGAAAGCGUGGGGAGCAAACAGGAUUAGAUACCCUUGUAGUC